UAUAAAUGUUGGUGAGCGGCGACGCUCCGCCUUUCUCUCUGCCUAGAGGGAUCGGGGCAGUGCUGGAGGCAUGACGGGAGCCGGCCUGCGACCUAUGCCCUGGAGACCUGCUGCAGUCUCUGGAGACCUGCUGGCCCAUUGCCAGCUGAUUGGCUCGGUGUAAAGGGUGGGGAGAAUGGUUAAUAAAACAGGAGAAAAAAAUUGUCUGUUUCUUUAUUGUGCUCUCCAGCACUGUCUUUGAACUGGUGAAGUGGCCAACUGAUGGCUUCGCUGGCUAAGCAACAGUGCAACAGGAAAAGCUUGUUCAUAACUGGUGCUGCUUAGUUAAAAUCUGAGUGGCUCUUUUAAGAGCAAGUAACAGUCUUGUUACUGUACUGCUUAAAUCUUAGUUAAAGACUAUAAUUAAAUUCCCCCUUUGCUGAAUGAAAUUUCCUCUUCCUAGAGACCUGGUACGGGUGGCAGUGAAGACACUGGAAAGACAAACAUCUGUCUCAUUAAAGUUAAGAUCUCUCCUUGGCUGAAUGACUUGGCUUUUGAUGUCCUGUCCAUAGGACAUUGGCACUGCAGAAUAGGCAUAACCCUUCAUAAAAUUAACUCUUCCCAUGACCACCUAGGAAGUUCUGUUACUUCUACAAUGCAGCUUGUUCUAAAGUGGCCAGUACACUUGGAACUGGUUGUGCUUACAGAAAUGUACAUUUCUUUCAGCUGCUUUGAAACCAGGCGGCUAGCAAAUGCUUGGAUGAAGGACUUAGGUCAGGCUUGACAAAGCCCUGGCUGGGAUGAUUUGAUUGGGGAUUGGUCCUGCUUUGAGCAGGGGGUUGGACUAGAUGACCUCCUGAGGUCCCUUCCAACCCUGAUAUUCUAUGACUAUAAAACAGAGCAACUUCAAGUAACUAGGUUUUAAUGGGAAAAAAAUGAAGGUAGCAUCAGCUAUGGCACACUUGAAGGGGGGUGGUGUAUAAUAUACAAUUUUGCAUUAUAUAUGAGGGGGUAGAACAGCUUGCAUGAAUGUAGUGUAAUCUCCACCUGUGGUGCCCCCUUGCUUGCUACACAGUUGGCUCAGUAGAAUACAGAGCUGGCUUAAGGGUGGAGGGGGAAGGACAGAGUGGAACUAGGUGGUGCUCCCUGCCAUUAAGCUUUAAACAGUGGGUGAAAACUGAAAUGCAUUCAAACUCUGGAAGGAUCUUAAUUAUGAGAGAAAUAAGGCUAAUAGGACAACUGACCAAAGCUUUUGGACAGUGAAAUAAGAUGCAGUAGAUGCUACCAUACUGAAAUAAAUGCUAGAUGGGAAUAGGGAAAGAAUUUUUCGUUUCCCAUGCAUCAGUUUGGUUGUUUCCUAAUUCUGUAGUAGCUUUAAGAUCUGUGUUUUCCCCAAGUUUGGCUUCACUAGUUUUCCUGCAAGGAAGAUCUAGCAGAGGAAUGAUUAAGUUGUGUAAACAGUAUUUGAACCACACCAUUUUGAGUAGGAUCCAGUGAUUAUAACUACUAAGGUUUUUCCUUGGCAGUGCCAAAGCAUCUUUCAAAGGUACAUAGAUGGCCACUACCCUUUAAGAUCAGAGUGCCUCAUGAUCAGUGAGUUUGUCCUUCCACCACUGGUAAGAUGUACUGACUUGUAAGAGGAAGACUUGCAGCAGCUAGAAUUGAGCUUAGCACUAGACAAGGGGUUGGUAACCUUUCAAAGAGGUCUUUUUUUUGUUUGUUUGACCAAAAUAUUUUGAGAGCUACAUCACAGCAGUAUAAAGAAAAGGAGGACUAACAUUUAUUUGAGCAUAAGCUUUUGUCAGCUACAGCUCACUUCAGCGGAUGCAUUCAUUUUUUUCCACUGAAUGCAUCCAAUGAAGUGAGCUGUAGCUCACAAGAGCUUAUGCUCAAAUAAAUUUGUUAGGCUAAGGUGCCAUAAGUACUUUUUCUUUUUGCGGAUACAGACUAACCCAGCUGCUACUCUGAAACCUGUCAUCACAGCAGUAUGUAACUCUCAACUUUGAUUUUAAAGCUUUUAUUUUCAAAACCAGAACAAUACAUUUUUUAAAUCACUUACCCUAGAGCAUCAGUCUCCAUAGUCAGCUUGAAUUGAACAUACUUUCUCCAGAAAUUCAUUUUUAUUGUAACAGGGAGGUACCACAUGAAAGUGGCUUCCCAAAUACAUCUUUUGAAAACAUCUUCCACAAACAAACUACUGGUCAAACAUAAUUAUGCAGAAAUAACUUACAAGCUAUGUAAUGUGUCUGACAUGGGAUAACUUUAUUUCAGAAAACAAAGCAAGCCAAUUGUAGUUACCCACAUAGUUUGAUGAGGAAGUGCAAUAUAACAAUUGUGUAACAAAUCUGGAUAUCUUUACACAUUAGUGCAUCUAGUCCUUUUACUUAUUAGUUAUUGCACACAGAAAUUUAAAUCAUAUAAAAGACCUGCGUACAAGACAUGCAGACUUCAUGAAAGGCAAAUAAUGCCGAUGUAGUAAUGAGUGCAAUACCAGAACAGUAUACACAAACUGGAAUGGUCACAGGAGUUUAGGUAACAAAUAUAACCUGCUAAUAUUGCAAUUAAAA